rnacentral:rRNA from 1 species
UACGAAGGGGGCUAGCGUUGCUCGGAAUUACUGGGCGUAAAGCGCACGUAGGCGGAUCGUUAAGUCGGGGGUGAAAUCCUGGAGCUCAACUCCAGAACUGCCUUCGAUACUGGCGAUCUCGAGUUCGGGAGAGGUGAGUGGAACUGCGAGUGUAGAGGUGAAAUUCGUAGAUAUUCGCAAGAACACCAGUGGCGAAGGCGGCUCACUGGCCCGAUACUGACGCCGAGGUGCGAAAGCGUGGGGAGCAAACAGG